CAUCAACCUGCGGAGGCAACGUUCAAGACAGGUUACACAUGAGCACAAGAGUGACAGUUCUCAUACUGCCUAUAGCUGAAGCACCUCUUUUCAGCCUGUGUCUGAAACGCUCUCUUAUAGCCCCUGUCUCUUUAAGGCCCCCCUGCCAAAAAGCCCAGUCUGCUCUAAUUGGUCAGCAUUAUUACACGGCCGCAGCUUCCACCCUCCCUCUUCUGCCUCAGCGUUGCAGGUGUUUAAGCAGGUAGCUCCUCACUGCUACUGAGUUUAUCUGCAUUUCUACCGUCAAUAUUAAUUCAAUAACUGCUUCUAAACCAAAAACUUCCCCACCGGACAUGUUAGAGCGGGAGUCUGACCUGAAAUCACUGAAAUGAACAACAUCAACAAUCAAAUUACAGCUUUCUGUGACAUUUUCCUCAGCAGUGAGCAGUGACCUACAGUCUACACAGCCCAGUGAACUUAAACAUAUUUGUUGUGAGCAGCUAAAGAGGUAACGUGUUAGCAUGUGCAUGUAGCAUAGUAUAUAAUGUAAACUGUAAUUACCCUGAUGUGGGGAUGUUACCAUACGAAACAGACAAAGUGAAACAUUAGUCAAGCAGUUGUUUCUAGUGAAGAAACAGCCAGUAAAUGUACCAAAGUAAUCAGAGUAAUAGUAUAACGAUUACUGUAACCUCCCAUCUGUUAUAUUCUUCUGGAAAGUUACCAUAAUGAGUCAGAAACCUGCCUGCAAUACUUUAUCCUGUACAACUUGUCAAUAUAACUGAAGGAAUUACUCAUCUAAUAAAGUACCUUGUUAUGUGGUUUAAAAACUGCUCAGUAACUGUACUGUACUGUAUCCAUAUUUCAUAGCCUGAUAUUUUAACUGACAAUAAUUACCAAAGUUAACCUUAAAAUAUUUGUAAAAGCUGCAAUUAUAUUUUCACCACUUUUAAAAUACUGUAUACUGAAUAUUGUAUCAUUUAUAUUAUAUAUUAUGUCAUUUAUCUUCCAACAUAAUAAAGUUUGAAUGUGAGACAGUAA